AGGCAUACACAUGCUAGUCGAGCGGUAGAGAGGUGCUUGCGCCUCUUGAGAGCGGCGGACGGGUGAGUAAUACCUAGGAAUCUGCCUGGUAGUGGGGGAUAACGUUCGGAAACGGACGCUAAUACCGCAUACGUCCUACGGGAGAAAGCAGGGGACCUUCGGGCCUUGCGCUAUCAGAUGAGCCUAGGUCGGAUUAGCUAGUUGGUGAGGUAAUGGCUCACCAAGGCUACGAUCCGUAACUGGUCUGAGAGGAUGAUCAGUCACACUGGAACUGAGACACGGUCCAGACUCCUACGGGAGGCAGCAGUGGGGAAUAUUGGACAAUGGGCGAAAGCCUGAUCCAGCCAUGCCGCGUGUGUGAAGAAGGUCUUCGGAUUGUAAAGCACUUUAAGUUGGGAGGAAGGGCAUUAACCUAAUACGUUAGUGCUUUGACGUUACCGACAGAAUAAGCACCGGCUAACUCUGUGCCAGCAGCCGCGGUAAUACAGAGGGUGCAAGCGUUAAUCGGAAUUACUGGGCGUAAAGCGCGCGUAGGUGGUUUGUUAAGUUGAAUGUGAAAUCCCCGGGCUCAACCUGGGAACUGCAUCCAAAACUGGCAAGCUAGAGUAUGGUAGAGGGUGGUGGAAUUUCCUGUGUAGCGGUGAAAUGCGUAGAUAUAGGAAGGAACACCUGUGGCGAAGGCGACCACCUGGACUGAUACUGACACUGAGGUGCGAAAGCGUGCGGAGCAAACAGGAUUAGAUACCCUGGUAGUCCACGCCGUAAACGAUGUCAACUAGCCGUUGGGAGUCUUGAACUCUUAGUGGCGCACCUAACGAAUUAAAUUGACCGCCUGGGGAGGACGGCCGGCAAGGUUAAGACUCAAAUGAAUUGACCGGGGGCCCACUCCAAGCGG
rnacentral:rRNA from 1 species